rnacentral:misc_RNA from 1 species
AAACUGCUCCUCAGGCAGCUUAACUUGUGGUCUUGACUGGAGAAGGGAUGAGAGCAGAAAUGGUAAAGGAGGUGCCCUUGAUCGAGUUGCAAAAGGUUUCCCUGGUGGACUGUCUUGCAACUUCAAAAGCGCGUUUGCUUCAGCAAGAAUCUUUGAUGCAAAAGAGAGCAAUAACAAAUGAGGUUUCCAAACCUGGCCAUUUGGCAACACCCUCUGCCCAGCCCUAUUUGUCCUGCAUGCUGAGUGGUUCUCUACUAAUGAAACUGGAUUCAUAAGCCGCAUAUCACCAGCUGCCUGACGGAUUGCUUGUUGAACAACAUGAGAACGUUGAGUGACAAACAUGUCAUAACUUGAAGCAGUACCAUUUGGCCCAUCAGGUGGAGCAGACGCUGCAUGAGUCAGGACCACAAUUGCAUUAAACCAUAUGGAUGGACCAAAUAUAUCAGUGAUGGUGCGUAAGAGAGGCAUAUCACCAAAAUCCCUGCUCUGCAUGUCUAACCUAUCCAGAUACAAAACAAUGUCUGGAGGAGUUCUCUUGAUAAAGUACUUAACAGAGUUAAGAAUCUUUUCAUUCUGGCGCUGGUCAGACCCAGAAGGUAGGAGACCUGGUGUAUCUAUGACCCGUACCUUAAUCCCUUGAACAGUGCCAACAACAUCCUGAACUUUUUUUGUACCUAAUUGAAAAGCAUCAGUGCCAAACUUUACUUCAUCAAAUAUUGAAUUGAUGGUUGCACUUUUACCAACUCCUGUCUUCCCAAGAACCAUAAUUGUACAAGAGAAAUCAAGGGGUUCCUGCCCAGCUGCCUCAAGCUGCUCAGCCAUGGCACUUGCACGAUCAAAACUGAAGGCACCAACACGGCCCCCAUUUCUCCCUCGCAGCUGUUCAGCUAAUCCCAGCCUGUAGAGAACCUGUGCUACAACAACAUUAUGUGGAGUCUGCCCUAGCCUAUGGGCAAGCCGCAAAAAUUUCACCCUAAUCAUCUGCAGUUUUUCACGAGUCUCAUUGUACUCAUCACCCUCCCCAUUGGUAGGGUCUUCAAUCUGUUGGGAUUGCACCUGAGACGCAGUUCCAUUAACACGUUGCUGCUGCUGCUGCUGCACUGCCCUAGGUGCAGGUUCCAGUAGUGGGGCGGCACGCCCAAGGCCCGCUGGACGAACAGGCAUAGGAGCAGGACCAGUGGAUUUUUCAGACAGCGAGGCAAGCUUUUCUGGAGUUGGAAUUUCUCGUUCACCAUUUCCUUGAGUUCUUUUCUUCUCUUCAUGAUCUUUUUCCACUUUAUUUUUUGGCUCCUCAAUCACAUUACUCUCUUUGCCAACACCAUUAACUUUUUCAUCAGCACACGGUGGUUCAGUUUUGUUAUACUCUUCUCUAAGAGUUGCUGAAGUAGCUACACAAUCUCGAAUAUCCUCAUUACUCUCAUUCACAAACUUCUCUGAGAGUAAGUUCAAAAUUUCUGGUGCUGCUGUUGCUUCAACUGUAAUUGGGACAGCUGAAUUAGCAUUCAGGUCAUGAAUUUCCUCAUGAUGCCCAGAAUCCACUGGAACAGAGGUGUCUUUCACAUCUCCAUUGCUACCACCUUGGAGCCCCAUGUCCAAAUUUGUUGAAUUAUAGAUCAAUUGUUCACUCUCAGGAACCCCAUUCCCAGAAGCAAGGACAGUAUCAUCACCUUUCAAUUCUCCACUUUUCUCAACCUUAUGACAUUCAGUGUCAACUUUAGGUACAUUAUCAUUCAAAGCAUCACCAUUAUCCUCUUGAAGCUGGACUACACCAACA